ACUAUCUGUCAAAUCCAUCAUUUCUGGAUCUGAUACUACGUUUUCCACUAUAGCCACCUCAUCCGAUUUGGGUUCCUGGUAAGCUUCUAUUUCAGCUGUUGGCCUUGAUAUUAGCUCGGGGGUAUGGACCUGAUCCUUCUUAUUCCACAUAUCUUUCUCACCCGACAUCUACAUACAUAAGUUACCUUGAUUAGCAUAUAGUAUAUAUACACAGCAAUCAAGAGUUUUAUAUACGUUGUCUCUUAUUUUGUUUGACGAUAAAUUUAUUCAAUUCUCAUCAACGCCUAUCUCUCUCUGCCGAAAGGCAGCUCCAUCCACUUCGCAUCAAAUCGCAUUAAGGCGAUGUUUAUAGCCUGCUCCAAGGUAUAUAUCUUGGUGUCUUUGGCUUCUAUCUCAACCUUCAACUGUCCUAUCUGUAUCUCUCUCUGCUCCAACCUCCCUCAUAACUCGGCUAAUUCUAUCUAUGUUCGGUGAGCAGCGUCCUCGUACUGCUGUUCUGAAAUCUGGAGAGUACGAUUCUGUGCCUCCGCUUGCUCAGCUCUAACCUUUAAGUCGUCGUUCCUAACUAUCAAAUCUCUUAUCAUCUCACUGUCUGUGUUCUCCUCGCUAGAGUCCAUCGUCUCUUGGGUCAAGGAAUUACUAUCUUGACUUUCGUCAUUCAUCCUAUGACCACAAUGAACGAGACAACAUCAUUACUGAAAUAAAAUAUAUUCAUCAUUAAAAUGAAGUAAUAUUUUAUUUAGUACCACUA
rnacentral:lncRNA from 1 species